rnacentral:rRNA from 1 species
AGCAGCCGCGGUAAUUCCAGCUCCAAUAGCGUAUAUUAAAGUUGUUGCAGUUAAAAAGCUCGUAGUUGAAUUUCGGGGUUCUACCGUUGGUCGGGCUAUUGUCUGUACUGGCGUGUAGAAUUUCUACCUUCUGGGGAACUAUCAUGUUAUUAAUUUAGCGUGGUAGGAAACCAGGACCUUUACCUUGAAAAAAUUAGAGUGUUCAAAGCAGGCUUAUGUCUGAAUACAUUAGCAUGGAAUAAUAAAAUAGGACGGUGGUCCUGUUUUGUUGGUUUCUGAAUCACCGUAAUGAUUAAUAGGGAUAGUUGGGGGCAUUAGUAUUCAAUUGUCAGAGGUGAAAUUCUUGGAUUUAUUGAAGACUAACUACUGCGAAAGCAUUUGCCAAGGAUGUUUUCAUUAAUCAAGAACGAAAGUUAGGGGAUCGAAGACGAUCAGAUACCGUCGUAGUCUUAACCAUAAACUAUGCCGACUAGGGAUCGGACGAUGUUAAUUUUUCUUGACUCGUUCGGCGCCUUACG